rnacentral:rRNA from 1 species
GAUCUGGUCAGGAUGAACGCUAGCGACAGGCCUAACACAUGCAAGUCGAGGGGCAGCACGAAUAGCAAUAGUUGGUGGCGACCGGCGCACGGGUGAGUAACACGUAUGCAACCUACCUGUAAGAGGGGAAUAACCCGGAGAAAUUCGGACUAAUACCGCAUAAUACCUCGAAGCUGCAUGGCUUUGAGGUUAAAUAUUUAUAGCUUACAGAUGGGCAUGCGUAUGAUUAGCUAGUUGGUGAGGUAACGGCUCACCAAGGCAACGAUCAUUAGGGGUUCUGAGAGGAAGGUCCCCCACAUUGGAACUGAGACACGGUCCAAACUCCUACGGGAGGCAGCAGUGAGGAAUAUUGGUCAAUGGACGAGAGUCUGAACCAGCUAAGUCCGCGUGAAGGAAGAAGGUUCUAUGGAUUGUAAACUUCUUUUGUAAGGGAAUAAAGUUCACCACGUGUGGUGUUUUGUAUGUACUUUACGAAUAAGGAUCGGCUAACUCCGUGCCAGCCGCUGC